rnacentral:lncRNA from 1 species
UGCGCCUCAUGGAGCUGUCAUAAGGAAUCAGUUGAUUAAUGUAUAUAAAUUGCUUGUGUUCUGUUGCUGCUUCUUUUACUAUUUCAUCUCCCCUAAAGUUUUUUUCAUAGUUCUUACAUCCUUCUCAUUUCUGCAAAGUGAGAAUUCUACACUCCAGCAAUAGCAGAGAUAGAUAACACAAAUGACAUUUGCCCGCCCAUGGCUGCCCAUGGACCAAUUGGUAUCUGCUUCCUUCCCUCUGAGGCCCAUAGAAGCCCUGGACUCAAUCUGACUCAAGGAGAUGAUGGGACUACCAGCUGCGGAAAGGAGCUACCCACUCCAAGGUCUCUGCUGAGAGCUGAACACUCAUCAAGACACCCUGCCUGCAGGGAGGAAUUACCCAAUGCUGGUCUCCUCUGAGCUGUUCCAUUGCUCAAUAUAACUUCUCUUUGCUUUGCUCACCCUCCACUUGUCCAUCUACCUCAUUCUUCCUGGACACAGGACAAGAACUUGGGACCUGCAAAAGGGCUGUAACACAAACAGGGCUGAAACACAUCCCUUGUUCGCCAUAUUGUAGGUGACAAGGAGGAGAGAAAAGAGGAGGAGAGAAGAGCUGCAGCCCUUCUGGGAGCCCAGACCUAGGAGAUCCCUGAGCCAGGGCUAUGACACCCUCUUUGGGGCUCUAUGGUUCCUGGUGCCUCCAAGCUUCCGGAAGCCACUGCAUUCCUCAGUGCCAGCUGUGGAAGCUGCUUGUGGUACAUUUGGUCCAGCCACAGCCUUGCAGGGAGCUGGCACCCAUGCUGGUGCCUAUAGCUCCCCACCCCACCGCAGCCGGCUUGCCUGGCUGUGCACAGUGGCCAGACCUCAUGCUCACUCAUGUACCCUUCACCACUCUGCACCUGGCCUGCCCUUGGCAGGUAUGGGAUUCAGGUAUCCAGCCCCAGCCGAUUGCAGCCUGCCAGGCUGAGUGGGUGGAAUGAAACCUGUGGGCCCAAACAAAACUCAAGGAAAGGCACCACUGGCCACAUACGUUUCCAGCUGGUGAAGUGACACCCCGAGAAUCCCAUGGCAUUAUCAUACACUCUUCUUAAAAACUGAACCCGAGGGAAAAAUGAUACCCUUGAACAGUGAGGGAUAA